rnacentral:rRNA from 2 species
UGGGGAAUAUUGGACAAUGGGCGAAAGCCUGAUCCAGCCAUGCCGCGUGUGUGAAGAAGGUCUUCGGAUUGUAAAGCACUUUAAGUUGGGAGGAAGGGCAGUAAAUUAAUACUUUGCUGUUUUGACGUUACCGACAGAAUAAGCACCGGCUAACUCUGUGCCAGCAGCCGCGGUAAUACAGAGGGUGCAAGCGUUAAUCGGAAUUACUGGGCGUAAAGCGCGCGUAGGUGGUUUGUUAAGUUGGAUGUGAAAGCCCCGGGCUCAACCUGGGAACUGCAUUCAAAACUGACAAGCUAGAGUAUGGUAGAGGGUGGUGGAAUUUCCUGUGUAGCGGUGAAAUGCGUAGAUAUAGGAAGGAACACCAGUGGCGAAGGCGACCACCUGGACUGAUACUGACACUGAGGUGCGAAAGCGUGGGGAGCAAACA